rnacentral:lncRNA from 1 species
CGCAGACCCUGGUUCCUGCCCACCCUCCCCGACCCAGCCAGCCUGGGGAGGAAUGGAGCCAUCCUGCUGAGGGCUGGGCACACUGUGAGUGCCUGAGGGUGCCGGCUGCCACGGUGUGGCAUUUCCUUGGCAGACGUGGUCCCCAGGGGACAGCCAGGGACGUGCUCACCUGUGGUGAUGUCGUGGCGAAUGCCUUUGACUGAGAUCCGGGCGUUUUUGACUGGCUUGCCGAAUUUAUCUGUCACCACACCUUUGAUGCCCCGGUGCACCUGAAGAGACCAAGGGGAGGCCAGGGAGAUGGCGUGAGCUCUCCUGCUGAGCGUGGAGGCCGUCAGCUCGUUCCCCACAUGCUCCUCAGAGCUUGGUAUCUAGGGGGAACUACCCCACAGAGCCCCACUCUGCCAGCCCUCGCUCUGCCAUCUUUAACGAGUCAGUCACUCCCCUCUCUGGGCCUCAGUUUCCUCCCUGGCAAUUGACCCGAGCACGUUCUGGGCUUUUGAAUGACCCUGCAUCUCACCCGAGGCCUGGCUGACUCCAUCUCUAUGGGCAUUGAGCAGAGAACCCUUUCCUGCCACUCUUCUGCCUGAUCGGCAUUCCUUCCCUGCCUUCCCAGCCCCAGCGGGACUCCCUGGGUCCCUCUGAGCUGAGGCUCCUGAAGGUGGCGUGGGCAUGGGAGAGGACGAGGACAGUGCUCGGACCCUCGCUCGAGCAGCGCGGUUUCUUCAUCGUACACGUGUAUAACACGCCCUGCCUUCUUACUGCUUGCCUGGCCUUGGCACGAACUGGUCCUGAACACACAAGCUCCCUGCACGCCCACAGCUCCAACGUUUUCACCCUGGAAAGCCCUCCCAAAGCUGCCUGAUCCUGUCCACAUUUCUUGUAAAACAGUUGAUGACAAACCACCCACACGGCCCCUGCUCUAGUCAGCAGAAAACAACGUGGGGUCCAAGGAUGCUGAAGGUCACGCUGAGCAGGACCAGGAUGCCUGUGGGGAGAGGAGUCCGUCCAGCGAGGCUGCCCCCUGCCCGGGCCCUGCACGGGGCUCAGCAGCAACAGAUUCUCAAGGGAAAGGGCUCCCAGCCAGGCCCUGCUGUGCUUCCAGAAACUAUGAAAAUGAUCUUGCUCCUCUUAAAAUCAGGAUAAAAGCAAAACAUUUUAGGUUGGAGAGACUGUUUUCCUAUAUAUUCAUCUUUAUGUCGACUGUUGUAUAAUUUUAAAUACUUUAUAUGGAGGGAGGAGUCCACAGAAGCAAAGAGCCUGGGCCCACAGGGUCAGGAAGCAGCCCUGGCAACAGGAGCAUCCUCCUUCCCUGGCCCCGGGACAUUAGCCCGAGAGGGGCUGGUUUUUCUCUGGGCCAGAAAAUCAGCUCUGCCGUAGUGACUGUUCACUUCAGACAAACCUUUGCUUCUGGGUGCCUCAGUUUCCUCAGCUGUAAAAUGUUCAUGAGGCCAAAGCAGCUCUGGCUUCUGCAGGACCGAUGAUUUCAGCAAGCAUGUGAACUCUAAUCCCACCGCGGCUGACCCCCGCCGUGACCGAUGCAGAAACCGACUGGCCUGACACACGCGGCCCGUGAGCUCAGACCCUGUGGCACCUAACUGCUGUUCCAGGCUCACGCCCAGCUGUCAGUGGUGCAGGUGGCUGAAAGAGGGGAGUGGGCACCCAGUCUAGCUCCACAAAGCACAUGCUAGCACUUAUCUCUGUGCCACAGGGAUCUCGGGAACCCAGAGCACAUGGAAUCCAUGAUGAGCACAUCAAGGGGUCCCAGCCCUCCUGACGCGAUGGAGAGGGACUGACAGCCACUGCCCCCUGCCCUCUGGGGCUCGUGACCCCCACCCUGGAUGCUCUUGUCCACACUUCGCUGCUUAAUGGAACCGCACUCCUGAAACAAUGUCUCAUGGACUCGCAUUUAGCGGGAGGGAGAGCAUAAAAAGUAAGGUUUUCCUGCAUGAGAGGUGAUGAAGAGAAACUGGACAGCUCGAGAAGCCACCAUGCCCCUCAGCCACCCCACCCUGUGGCUCCUCCUCACCCCCAGACAGCAUCUGAGCCUUCUCUGCUAAGAAUACCCUCACCAGCCCCUCACCGGGCCGAUUCCUUCCCUCCCUUCAAAACACAGCUCACACUCCUCCUCCUCCAGGAAGCCCUCCCUGAUGACCAGCCACACUGGGGGCCUACCCCAGGGCCCCACGGCCCCAGUCUUCCUCUCUGCCAGCCCUGGUCUCACUUCUGCCUCCCCUAGCCCCACCCGAGAGCAGGGGCUCUCCCAGGAGGGUCUCUUACAGGAGGCCCUCAGCAUCAGCCUGCAGUGGACGGAUUUUUUUUCUGUCCCUGCUCUUGGGCCCACGGGUCACCUUCAUGAAACACAGGGCACAUGCGGUUCUCUGGUGGGGAAAGAGAGCUGCCACGCCGCCCCUCCCCUCGCCCCAGGUGAUGUAGACUCCCACCCGAGGCCUGGCCAGGAUCACUUUGAAAAAAGCCUCAAUUGGCCACGACAGGCUUGAUCCUUAUCAGGAGCCCGCGCCCAGGUCUCCUGUAAGACGUCCGUCUCAAGAGCCAGCCAGCGAGCUGCCCAGCCUUCCAAGGUCCACGCUUGCUGUAAAUCUUCAUAUCCCAAGACUUCAUGUGUAAUAUCCAGGAGCAAUGCCAGCCACAUCCGAGGCUCCUUCAACCUCAUGUUCAUCAGACAGCCGCAAAAUGCAAUGUGCACAGGCCUGGCGCGAGAGCUCAUAGAAGAAUGGGACUCGCCACAGGUGGUGCAGGGCUGCGGCACAGCCAUCAGAAAGAAACUCAAAUGGCAGAAUGUUCCAUUUUACUUUGUGUGGGGCUUUGUUUCUUUCCUAUCUCAGCGGCUGCUGCCCCAGGGAGUUCGCUCGAUUCUUACUUGGAGGAAGGUUCCUGAUUUUUCUAGAAAGGAGGGGGCUCAUGGACAGAGGGCUUGGGAAGAAGCAGAUCUGGGCGACACCAGACAGGCCAUGUCACUCUCUGACCCUCUGUCUCCUCCUCUGGCUGGCUCGCAGACAUUGGGAGCCUGGAGCACAAGCCUGUGUGUGGCCCAGAGACCCCAGGCCAGAACCUCAACUCCAUCUAUAAAAUGGGACGGCCCCGUCUGCCGCCCGGCCUGGUGUCAGAACCGGCUGCCCUGUGUGGGUGGGCGCCAACUGUACGGUGCUGCGCCCUCACCUCUCCUUGCUGCUGCAGCUCAACCCUCUUUCUGAGGCCUGCUUCUCACUGGGCAUCUGUGCUCAUAUGCAAUUUAUGUGAUUCUUGAAAACGCUUGGGAAAAAAAUAGCAGAAGCUUCUUCGAACGCAGGCUGCCUUCCCUGUGACAUCCUGGACCCUUCUUGGGGUCCCCAGCACCCUCGGUGUGAGCUGUGCUGGAAGGGGAGCAGACAUGGGCACAGAGUCCCCACUCUCACACUGAGUGCUAGGGAGACCUUGGCUCUCUGGGGCAGCGAGGGGGUCAUUUUAGACACAUUCUCAGCCAUCCCCACUCACCUCCCACCUGCCUGCUUCUGGGUGACCUCAGCCUCACGAUAGUAGUCACCCCUCAGUCAGGACGCCCUGCCCCGCCCCCAGCCUCUGCCAGCCACUUCCUGCCUAUACCCUUCACUCUGAGGCCCCAAAACCCUGCCUGAACCACACAGCUACCCCACUGCCCAGAGCCCUCACUUCUGCGCCUCCUGGAGCACAGUGCCCGCCCCAUCCCACGGCUCGAGUCCUCACCACAGCCCCAGCGGCUCUCGAGGGUUUUGAUGUCCCCUUGGGGUUCUAGCAUGCUCCCCUCUGCUGGGAGCUCUCCCUGUCCUGUGGUUUGAUUUCUCCUACCCUUCUUCAAGAUGAAGCCCUGCGGCUGCCUCCUCCAGGAAGCCCCCCCAGCCUCUGAGGCUGGGUCAGACACCUCGCCGGGCUGCCCAGGCCCAUGCUCCCUUGUUUAAUUGUGCUGCUUUAGGCUGUAACAUCCUUGCUCACAGGGACUCCAACACAUGGCACCGCCACCCCAGCACCCACAGAGCACGCAAAGGAGAGCCGGCUACUGUAUCUCAAGUUGUGCAUGGUGGACAGUUAACCCCAAAACAAGUGGUGGCAAAAGGAGCAUGUGUGUAUGGGGCAGUGAGGCUACGGGGGCUGCCCUGGGGGCCUGAAUGUGACCCACCCCACCCAGGCCACAGCUGGACCAGAGCCCUGAGACCGUCAGAACUCACCGUCUCCACGAAAUUCAGGAGUGACUCCUUGUUGUGCUGCCAGAGUAUGUACAGGGCCUCCUCGGGGGGGAACUUCACACAGCCCAGCUCUACCGUGAUCUCAAAGCAGUUGGUGUGCAGGUAGUUGAAAUCGGACAUGCCUGUGGCACAGAGACAGCGGGGACGUCAGGGGUGUCAGCCGCACAGAGACAGCCGGGACGUCAGGGGUGUCAGCCGCACAGAGACAGCCGGGACGCCGGGGUGUCAGCCGCGCAGAGACAGCCGGGACGUCGGGGUGUCAGCCAAGUGCCCAGCAGGCAGGUGAGGCAUCGCCCUGUCUUCCGGGCUCUCCAGCUGGAUCCCAGCAGCAGACCGUGGAGUUACGCCUUGCCCCUGCCCCACCCAGCCCCUGCACCCCCCACCCCCCGCCCAGUCCCGCCCUGCGGAAGCCGCACCUCCCGUGAAGCUGUACCAGUCCGCCCCGUUGAUGAUGCUCCCCCUCUUCAGGAAAUUGCCUCCACACCUAUUCUCCGACCUGUCCAUCAUCAUGGGGUGGACGUCAGCGUAGGCUCUGGACAGCAGCUUGAACAUCUGGAAAAGAAACCUGGCUCAGAUAAGGAAAGGGUCCCCUGCAGGACGUCCUGUGAGCUGGGGUCAAUGAGGGGAGGAGCUGCGCGUGCAAACACCUGCAUUGCAGAUAGGAGAGGGGAAUGGUGUCUGCAGGUAGGAGAGGGGAACGGUGUCCUGCAGAGGACACAGUGUAUGUGAAGGCCCAGAGGUGGGUCACAGGCGGUCUGGCACUGCUGGAGUUCGGGGCCAGGUCCCAUGGGUAACUGGGGUAAUCACCGAGACUCUGCACACCUGGCCGGGUAGUGUGGGCUUUCUCUCCUGAGGUUACACACAGACAUGGUGUCCACAGGGUGUGUGCAGGUUGGCUUGACAGUUUAUAAAGCCCAGGCUGUUGGAGCAGUGAAGGCAAGGGUGGGCUGCAUUUUCCCCGACUUCAUCUCCAAAGCCAACUACUUCUAUGAAUAAUCACUGCUUCAUUCCCCACCCCACUCCACCUCCAGGCUGACCAGCACCAUCAGAGGCUGGGACUCAGCCUGCAGGAAGCCCCUCCCUGACUACCCCACCCUCCAGCUUCCACUGCAGUUGGCAGAGGGACAGAACACAGCUCACAGGAUCUGCCACCCUUGACAUGUUUGGAUGUGUGGCUGGGAUCCUGGGUCCCUCCCCACAGGCUUCCCUUCCCAGCCCAGAGCUUCCCCGCAUUGUGCCCAUCCCCCAGGCAGAGUCCACAGAUCCUCCUUUGUGGGGGCUCUGGGCCGUCUGUAAGUCCCAGACUGACCUUGGGCAGAGGCUCCUGGUGGGUCAGGCAGGCGAAGGGCUCACCCUGCAUGAGCUCAUCAGGGCCCCACCAAGCAGGACAGGUCUGUGCUGAGGAGGGGGCUCCCUCUGUCAGAAAGGAGGAGUGGAGGACACUAGAGGGUGGACAGGCAGGGCCCAGUGAGUGAGUGAGUGAGUGAGUGAAUGAGCGAAUGAAUGAGUGAAUGAGUGAGUGAGCGAAUGCGUGAGCAAGUGAAAGAGUGAGGGAAUGAGUGAAUGAGUGAGUGAAUGAGUGAAAGAGUGAGUGACUGAGUGAAUGAGUGAUUGCUCCAGGCCAGAGUGAAGAUCUCUCCCUGGUGGGGGUCAUGAGACUCGGACUCCCAGACGUGAGGUUUGGGGUUGGUGAGGAAUGGGUCCAGCUUCUCAGAAGUGAGGCUGUGCCAUCUGGACUCAGUCCCACAGACACAAACCAAGGGCACAAACACAACCCCACUCAGGCCCUGUGGUUCCAGGGUGGCAGACCAUGGACCACUAUCCUGCCAGCAGCCCCUGCACCUGUGGGUGGGGCAGCAUCAGCUCAGGAGUGGCCUGCCCUGCCUCAUAGCAGGAAGCCUCAGCGGACUUUCCCAUCAAGAAUGAAUCACAUCCAACAAACGGUCCAUCUGCCCAGGCCACAUCUGCUACAUUCUACCUGUGUCCCACCUCUGACCUGCCUUUAUCCGUCAGCUUGACAGGGUGUAGCCUCGGGGGGUAGGAGGGUGGGACAAGACUCUCUCCAAAGUCUGCUCCUGACCCAACCCACCGUGUCACCCUUUCUACCCACAAGGCCUCCCUGCCCUACAGUCCCUCCUCCCUGCCCUUGCCCUGGGGCCUCCCUCCCAUCACUGGUCAGUCUCUAGGGCUAAGGCAUGGAAGGUGGCUGCCGACCACCAGUCCCCAAAACCCUGGGGUGCAGGGGCCCAGAUCUGGCUAACACAGGCCUGACCUGGGAGGGCAGGUGCAGGACAAGGACAUCAGAGGAGCUGUCGGUCCAGAGGCUGGGCGCACAUGGGCAAGGAAGAGACACAGAUAAAUGAAACCAGGCGGGAGCAGGGAAGCUGGGACUGAAUGGGGACCCAGAAACACAGGCUGAGGACCGUGGGAAACCCAGCCCACCCAGCUCCUGCCCCAGGAAGCCCUUGGGAAACUGGCUAUGCUCAUUCCCACAGCAAGCGUUGGCAAAGCCAGAAAGGGGUUGGCAGGCAGGACACAGCAUGAGCAGGAUUCGGGCAAAGGGGCACGUGUGGAGCAGCAAAAGGCAGCCAUGGCCAGCCUGCAGGGCCUUGAACACUGUCCCCAGGCACUGGCUCUCGUCCGUAGGGCACCAUGGAAGUUUGGUGAAAGGGUACCUUGGCACACCCCAGCCAGCCCCUCUCAUGCUCCCCUGCCAAACCCAGGCCUCUCCUGGGACCCUGGUUUCCAGAGAUCACUGCCGGCCACAGGGCUGCAUGAUCACUGCCCGAUGAUUGAUGGCUUGGAAACAGUGUUAUUUUCUCUGGCUCUGAUGGGACUCACUGGGGUGAACAUCCCCCCUGGGGACGUCUUCUCACAUCUGGUUCUGAGGCUGAGACACACUGGGCCAGUGCAGAGGGGAUGCCUGCCCUGCCCUGCCAGCUCUGAGGCUGAGACACACUGGGCCUGUGCAGAGGGGGACACCUGCCCUGCCCAGCCAUGGCCCCCAAGAGCACAGGGGUGCAAGGCCAGGCCAGAAGUGGAGGCCGCCCAGUCACCUCUGCGGGCACUUGCAGAGGUCUGAGCAGAGAACCAGACACCUCACCCCUCGCACCCUUGGUGUGCACUACCUGCAAGAGUCAAUGAAUGAAUGAGUGAGGGAAGGAGUGCGGGAAUAAACCAAUGAGUGAAAGAAUAAGAGUGAGUGAAUGAGUUUGUGAGUGAAUGAAUGAGAGAAUGAGUGAGUGAAAAAGUGAGUGAAUAAGUGCAUGAGUGAAUGGAUGAAUGACUGAGAAAAUUAGUGUGUGAAUGAAUAAGAGAAUGAGUGAGUGAUGAGUGAAUGAGUGACAAUGAGUGAGUAAGUGAAUGAGUAAGUGAGUGAGGGAGUGAGUGAAUGCCUGAGUGAAUGGGUGAGUGAAUGAGUGAGGGAGUGGGUGAAUGAGUAAAUGAGUGAAUGAGUGAGGGAGUGAGGAAGGGAGUGAGUGAGUGAAUGGGUGAAUGUAUGAGUGGUGAGUGAGGGAGUGAGGGAGGGAGGGAGUGAAUGGGUGAGUGAAGGAGUGAGUUAAUGAAUGAUGAACAAGUGAAAGAGUGAAUGGGUGGAAGAAUGAACAAAUGCAGGACAAAUGCGCCGGUGGCCCAGGUGUUGCUGUCACUGCCCCUGGUCUGCAGAGUGCUCAGCUUGCUCUCCCCAUUCCUGCUGGGCCACAGCACUCGGCAUGGGCCCCUGCACCCGGCUCCCUGGGGCUCCCCUUGGUCUCUGCACCAGGUGGCCUGUGCCUCCAGUGCCCCUCCCUGCCCUGCAGCUGGAAAUCUCUACCUCACCUGUGGAGACCUUUUGGGAAACCGCCACCUCAGGGAAGCCCUCCUGAAGUCCCAGACCAGGCUGGGGGUUCCCCACCCCAACAUAUGCACGUGUGCACAUGCAUGCACACGCACACACGUGCACUCACAGCCCUCCUGCAGCCCUGGCAGUCUUCUCCUUGCCAGUUUCUGGCUCCAUUUCCCACCCUAGACUGAGGACCCCCAGCGCAGGGACCAGUCCCGUUUGCAUUCCCAAUGAUGGCCCCAGGACAGGGAGGGGCCCAGGUGAGGCAGGGCUGAUACCUGAGUGCCAACCAGGGGCCCAGCUAUGUGCUCGGCCGGGUGGCCUCAGAAAGGAGAACAAACGAUGUGUGACUGCUGUUAUGAGGGGCCCGGCACCUGGCACUUGCCCACCCAGGGCCAGUCCCUCUCUCCCUGCUCCUUCCCCCAAACACCAAGGGAAAGUGCAGGGAGGGAGGUGGAGGGCAGGCCUGGCUCUCCACGCGAAGCCUGGGGAGCGACUCUGGGCCAUCAAGGGGCCAGGUGGAGGGCAGGCCCAGCCUCCGGUGGAGUGGGGACCACUAGGGGCAGUUCAGGCAGCUAAGCUCCAGGAUCCGCAGCUGGGGGCUGGGGGCUGGGGGCUGGAGGCUGGGGCCCACCUCAGAUCACAACCCCUCCCUCAGCCUCCGCUUUCUUAUCCACAGUGUGGGAACGGACCAACUCCGCGCCCUCCCCCAGCAGGUCGUCCUAAGGUUAGGGUGGGUUGGGAGGGUCCCAGCAUCAUCACGGGUCUCAUCGCCCGCUGCUCUACGAACAGUAGGAGAAACUGAGGCCCGGAAAAGGGAGGGCCUCACCUAAUGGCCCAGUGGACGGUGGGACCAGAACUCCUUCCCCAUCCGGAGGAGCCCAGCACGUGAGAAGCAAGCACGACCCCCGGGAAGCAGGACGGGCGGGCAGCAUGCGCGCUGCAGCACUGCCCUCUGCCGGCGCCUCCCGGAAACGCACCCCUCUGCGGUGGGAAGCACUGGGGACCCCGCCAGGCGCGGGGCGGAGCUCAAAGGAACAGCAGCGCUGAGGCAGGGUCCCCACCCCAGGAGCUCCCAGACGGGGACAUGUGAAAGACAGUGCAGCCAGCCUCGGGGAGAUCAGGGGAGCGACGGCCCCUGAGGCCACAGACUUCCAGGAGGAAGGGGCUUCCCUGCAGAGCUGGGCCUGGAGCAGGUGGUGCUGACCCGCUCUGAGUAGAGGUUCCUAGGAGCUUUGCCUUCACUGAGCUCAGGACUGGAGGGGCACCAGCUCCAAGGGGACCGCGCACACUGUCUCCCUCCCCUGCACACACCCGACAGCCCUCUCACCUUCUCGUCGGGCGUGGGAGAAAACAUCUUCUCCUCCUGGGGGUGCUUGGAGAAGUCGAAGGGGUAGGACACCACCAGGUCGCCCCCAUGAAGGCUGGCUGAGAGCACAAAGGGUAUGGUCUGCAUCCACUUCAUGAUUGCCUUUGUCUCCGGGGCCACCUGCCCAGGACAGACGAGGCCGCCCUCAGGGCUGGGCUUUCCCACUGGCCCGCAGCCAUGCCCUGGGCUUCAGCAGCCCUCUGGGCUCCAAUGGUGCAGACUAUUAACGGUCUCUACAUCAACGCACCAGCUGGACUCGGCCCCCAUCACUGGGCCCCUGCGGGGAUCUAGGCGUUUCCAACAUGAAUCUCUGAAUCUCACCAACACCCCAGCAAGGAGGUGUUCCCAUUUCACAGACAGGUAACUGAGGCAGGGAGGGAGCACCAGGCUCUCCUGUCCCCAGGGAAGGACAACUCCAGAGAGCCUGGAAUAACUAGGGACCCCUGGAUGCCUUGGUGGAGACCAGCAUGGGCAGCGGCGGCUCCUACCUUACCCCACCAGUAGUGCUGGGGGAUGGGGAUGUGGUCGCUGCGUGCGCCGCGGGUCUCCGCCAGCCGGUAGUACUCGGACGUCAGGUCCGGGAAAUUUCGGUUCAGAUCCAGGUUCUGCGCGUUCUGCCUCCCGCUCGUCCACCCGUUGUAGCCGGCACCCUGAAAACAUGGCCAACCCCCGACUGGGUGGGGUCAGCACACCCCACCCUCCUCCUUCCAGAUGGGUCUCACGCUGGGCUGAGGGUCAAGGCCAGGGGCUGCGGUUUCCCCCGGCUUUAUGUGAUGAGCUCGGGGGCAUGCCUGACCCUUGGCCUCCUCUCCACCCCGGGGCUCCUUGCUGAUGUCACAGCCUUGGGGCCUUCCCUGGCUGCUCCCCCUGAGUGGGGCGCCCUCGACAGUCACCUGCUCUGCUCGUUGCCCACCUCCCCGAGAGCUACCCUGACCCCCCGCUGACACACACGGGCACCAUCGACUCCCUUUCCAUCAUUUUCCUCUAUCACACGCAUCACCUUUUUAAUUCACCUAGAAUUCUCAGUGCCUUCCUUCUCCCCAGCCCCUGAAGCAGGGGUUUGCCAGUAUCGACACCUGCUGAAUGCUCCUCUCCUAGAGAGGCAGGAACGAAGCACUGCUGGGAUAAACUACUCAUAAAUGGAUGAAUGAGGGGGUGGUUCGGGCGGUGGCCCACAGGAUCCAGGCAUCUGGGCGCUCACCUCGGCAGCUGCCACCUCAUAGCCGUCAGGGUUCAUGGAGGGCAGCAGGUGGAUGCGGGUGGUGUUGAGCAGGCGCUGGAUGCGGGGGUUACCAAGCAGGUACUCAGAGCACAGGUACUGGGCUAGGUAGAUGAGCAUCUCCCGGCCCGCCACCUCGUUGCCAUGAAUGUUGCCGAUGAGCUUCACCUCGGGCUCCACUGGGGGCAAAUACAGAGACUUGGGGCAUCAUCUCAAAGCCGGGGGUCCCCAAAGGCAUGAGGCCCCCCCACUCAGCAAGAAUGACCAGAUGGGCUGGGACCAAUUCAUACUUGUUUUGACUCAAGAACCUCUGUAUAUAAUGAGGUCUCAUCAAGGUCAUCACUUUUGUUAAGCUCGUUUUUUAUGCCUAGCCAGAAUUCUUAGUUAGCAUAACUCAAGAAUAUGAAUAAUAUAUGUUAUCAUUGAUUCAUGCAAAUUUAACUGAUGGUCUCUCUUCAUGUUUGUGUAAUAAGUCAAAGUGCACAUUGGUACUUAGCUGGGAAGGUGGUUGGCCCUUGAGUGGAUGAAUGGAUAUAUCAAUGAUGGAUGGAUGGAUGGAUGGAUGGAUGAAUAAUGGCUGGCUGGAUGGCUGGAUGGAUAGAUAUAUCAAUGAUGGAUGAAUGGAUAGAUGGAUAAAUCAAUGAUGGAUGGAUGAGUGAAUAAUGGCUGGAUGAAAUAAUGGAUAAAUUGAUGCAUGAAUGGAUGGACGGAUGAUGGAUGGGUGUGUAAAUAAAU